AUGAUCCUAGCUAGAGCUCUCAUUCUUUCUAGACUCGAUUACUGCAAUGCUUCAUAUAUUGGGGCCAACAAACACAUCCUACAUAGAAUACAAAUUCAACAAAAUAAUGCCUUGACGGCAGCUCUUGGUAUCUCCAAAUGAUCACAGAUCUCUCAGAUAAGGCGCAAUAACAAUUGGCUGUCGACCCAAGACAAAAUCUUACUGAAAGUGGCCUCCAUUACACAUAAAGCACUGAAUAAUGCAGCUCCUCCCUACCUAACAGAUAGAUUUAUAGAAAGAAGAUCUGUCAGACCCUCAAGAACCACCUAUGCCAAUACCCUCAUCAUUCCAAGUUUCAAACUUACCAAGGGCGGAGGCACCAGCUUCCCCGUCCGAGCAGCCCAAGUAUGGAACUCACUGCCUCACACUAUACGUGAAGAGAAAUCCUACUUUAAAUUCAGAUCUAACUACAUCAAACACCUGAAACAGUCGAUCAACUAGCCAGUGCAUCCUUCCCCUUACCACCCGCCUGACAUUUUACUUGUAUCUUGUACAAUAUCAUGUAUAUAAUCUACUGUAUCACUGCUAUUACCUGUAUAUAUUAUUUGUAUUAUUUGUAAUUAUGUGUAUUCAUGUAACUGUGUAAGCUAAGCUUCGCAUAUAUCCUGUACUGCUGCACCUCUUACCCUCGGGUCUGGUGCGCAUUAUAAGUGAAUAAUACAAACAAACAAACAAACAAGCUGAGGUGAAAUCCUGUUGUGAUGUGCACACCACCGGCACCUCUCAGCCACUCUGUUGCAUGCUGCAGGGGGUGGAGCAUGAGCAUGUGUGAUAUGACCCAAAUAGGUGAGCUAUUCCUGUGUAUGGCAAAGCCAGAUGAAACUCAUAUGGACGUUCAUAGUGGUAUUGUCAUGCAAAUCGGUUGUCUGAACUGACUAUCGGAGCAGAAGAUUAAUCGAACCAUCUAGAAGCUGGUUCCAUCUGGAGUUUCUCUCAGGAUAGCUGGUUCUCAGAUACCCCAGUUUUAUCUGGUGAGGCAAAUUAUUAGAAGUCUUAGUGACAAAACAAUCUCAACCUAUUCUCAGACUUUAUAUGUCAAGGAGUUUGGCUCGCUAGCAUGAAGCUGAGCAUCACAUACCAGUGCCCAUUGUGCCACUUUUUGUAUGCAGAACUGGUGCUGCAGGAUGAACCGAAUGCCAGGUUAAGGUGCACAAUGCUGACGCUCAUCAAACCCGAGGAAAGGUGUUGGUUGCCCAAGACAGCGGAAUAGUGGCCAUGAAAGUCAGAAUCUGCUAAGGAGAGUGUAACAACUCACAUGCCGAAUCAACUAGCCCUGGCAAUGGAUGGCACUGGAGAAUUGGGCACAUACCCAGCCGUUGCCAGCACGGAGAGAUACAGGGGCGAUAACGCAAUGAGUAGGAGGUAUGCUGAGGUGUGCAUGGUAGCCCAGAGCGAGUGCCAGAAUGGAGUUGCUGCAGAUGCAGCUCUUGGUAGUAGUAGCAAAUAUUCAAAGAAGAACUUAGAAUGGCAUAGUGGAGGAGGCUACCAUGUGAACAGCUGUUGAACAUGGGUCAGUUUUUCCUAAGAGAUUGGCGAGCAUCAUUCAGAAGGAGAAGCAAUAGCCUCCAUUGUCCUCUGCUGUUUGAAAGGGAUUCGGGUUCAGUUCCCCAAACCCAGAGUGGUAAAGAUGGGCACCCUCACUGCAUCCAUUGCCGUAAGGAAAAAGUUCCUGGAGAAUCUGGAGUGUUCUCUGUGGAGAGUUCUAUUUACUUUGUGAAGGGCAGGACACCUUGGAACGAUUUUCCCUAGAGAGAGGAGCAUAAACCUUGGAAAGCAUUGUGGUUCGGGUGGCUUACAGUGAGCUAUCGCUUUUCCUUGUUACUCCAUGGGAGAUGGUGUAGAUCUCACACAACUCCGUACCCAUAUCUGCAGGGAUUGGGGUUAGAAGCCAGUGGCAGAAAUAUUCAAGGGAGAAAAGACCGAAAGUUAUUUUUCUGAAAAUAACUUUGGUCUUUUCUCCGCUGAACAUGUCCACUUUGGUCAGACCUGGUGGGCUGCAAGGCACCCGCUCGCAGAACUUGGAGUAUGCCGAUCCGGUAACAAUGGUGCCGGUAGCUUACCGGCACUGUUGUUAUCAGACCGGCAUACUCAUAAUGAGGCGCAAUGUGAUUUCUGCCCAGUGCCCUGAAUGUCAAAUUGAAGAAAAUCAUUGGACCGCAGGUAAAUGGCGGGAGUAACUAAGACUCUCUUAAGGUGACCAAAUGCUGCGUCAUCUCAUUGGUGGCAUACAUGAAAGGAUAAACGGGACUCCCACUGUCCAUACCUACUAUCUAGUAAAUCACAGCCAAGGGAACAGGCUUGGCCGAUUUAGCAGGGAUCAGAGACACUGUUGAGCAUGACUCUAGUCUGGCACUGUGAUGAGACAUGAGAAGUGUGGGAUAAGUGGGAGGCCCUCGAGCCAGUGGUUAAUUACCACCAUUUUUUAUAAUUUUUCACUUGCCCAGUGAGGCGGGGGUGGCCAGCCCCAUGGCGCUGUCUCUUCUGGCUCCAAACACCACUCCAGCAUGAUCCGUUUCUGGGACAUUGGCAGGUGUGGUACUUGACUGGGAAAAUGCACCUGUCCUACGAUAAUACAGGUAUCCUAAGGCAAGCUCAUGUCGGACAGAAACAUUCCAUGGAGACAGAGGGCACAAUCUUGCAGGAUCUUGAUUUUACCUAUGAAGACAGACUAUAUAAGCAGGGCCUCAUGAUCCUUAUGACAUUUUGUGUUUCCAGUAAAGCAUUCAUAGCGACUUCACAUUUUGAUCCUUCCAUGUUGGCUCUUCCUAUCAUUGUGAAACCGAAUUCAGCAAACAUUACAUUGUUCACUCUCUAAUGGAGAACAUGAGCUAGGUUUAGACCGUCGUGUGACAUGCUGAUGAUGUGUUGUUGCAAUAGUAAUCCUGUUCACUGCCAUCUGUGGGAUUAUGACUGAAUGCCUCUAAGUCAGAAUCCCCCCAAAGCUGUUAUGCUAAUGCAGCCCUGUGGAUCCUCAGUUGGCCUAGGAUAGCAAGCUUUUGGGCAAGUGCAUAGAGCUGUUUGCCUCAGGACUCAAGUGUGGACAGAAGGGGACCACCUCUCUCGCCCAUAGUGCACCACUUAUUGUUUUGGAAUAUGGUGCAUAAUCACUUGUAGAUGACCUGAUUCUGGGUCACAGUUUCAUAAUUAGCCAUUUAGCUAACUCUCUGGCAUCUAUUGGAAGUCAUUCAA
rnacentral:rRNA from 1 species